GAGUUUGAUCCUGGCUCAGAUUGAACGCUGGCGGCACGCCUAACACAUGCAAGUCGAACGGCAGCAGGCUUAAGUUUACUUAAGUGCUGGCGAGUGGCGGACGGGUGAGUAAUGCGUAGGAACCUGGCCUGAAGAGAGGAAUAACCCUAGGAAACUGGGGCUAAGACCUCAUAAUCUCUGAGGAGCAAAGAUGGCUUUCGGGCUGUUGCUUUAGGGGGGGCUUACGUUGGAUUAGCUAGUUGGUGGGGUAAAGGCCUACCAAGGCGACGAUCCAUAGCUGGUCUGAGAGGACGGACAGCCACACUGGGACUGAGACACGGCCCAGACUCUUACGGGAGGCAGCAGUGGGGAAUAUUGGACAAUGGGGGCAACCCUGAUCCAGCGAUGCCGCGUGUGUGAAGAAGGCCUGCGGGUUGUAAAGCACUUUAGUUGGGGAGGAGUAGUACUAACUUAAUAGGUUAGUAUGAAGACGUUACCCAAAGAAUAAGCACCGGCUAACUCUGUGCCAGCAGCCGCGGUAAUACAGAGGGUGCAAGCGUUAAUCGGAAUUACUGGGCGUAAAGGGUGCGUAGGUGGUUACGCAAGUCAGCUGUGAAAGACCCGGGCUUAACCUGGGGCGGUCAGUUGAGACUGCGUGACUAGAGUCGAGUAGAGGGGAGCGGAAUUCCUGGUGUAGCGGUGAAAUGCGUAGAUAUCAGGAGGAACACCGGUGGCGAAGGCGGCUCUCUGGACUCAGACUGACACUGAGGCACGAAAGCGUGGGUAGCGAACAGGAUUAGAUACCCUGGUAGUCCACGCUGUAAACGAUGAAUACUAGCUGUUGUGAGCUAUAAGCUUGCAGUAGCGCAGCUAACGCAUUAAGUAUUCCGCCUGGGGAGUACGGCCGCAAGGCUAAAACUCAAAGGAAUUGACGGGGGCCCGCACAAGCGGUGGAGCAUGUGGUUUAAUUCGAUGCAACGCGAAGAACCUUACCUACCCUUGACAUCCUACGAAUCCUGCAGAGAUGCGGGAGUGCCUUCGGGAAUGUAGAGACAGGUGCUGCAUGGCUGUCGUCAACUCGUGUCGUGAGAUGUUGGGUUAAGUCCCGUAACGAGCGCAACCCUUGUCACUAGUUGCCAGCAUUAAGUUGGGCACUCUAGUGAGACUGCCGGUGGUAAACCGGAGGAAGGUGGGGAUGACGUCAAGUCCUCAUGGCCCUUAUGGGUAGGGCUACACACGUGCUACAAUGGGCAGAGCAAAGGGAAGCGAAGCAGUGAUGCGGAGCGAAUCCCAGAAAGCUGUUCGUAGUCCGGAUGAGAGUCUGCAACUCGACUCUCUGAAGUCGGAAUCGCUAGUAAUCGCGGAUCAGCAUGCCGCGGUGAAUACGUUCCCGGGCCUUGUACACACCGCCCGUCACACCAUGGGAGUGGGUUGUACCAGAAGUGGCUAGUCUAACCUUAGGGGAGACGGUCCCCACGGUAUGAUUCAUGACUGGGGUGAAGUCGUAACAAGGUAACC
rnacentral:rRNA from 1 species